AAUAACAAGUGGAUUGUUUUAACAUAGUUUGGUCUGGAAAUAUCAGGUACAUUUUGCAGCAACUAAAGAAGGGUUGUCAUUGUACUUUGCCAAAUGUGGGGAGAUUGCCAACUUGGUGAUUUUGAUUGAUGAAGCUACUGCACAACCAAAAGGGUCUGCUUAUAUUACUUUUUCCAGCAAGGAGUCUGUUGACAAAGCAUUAGAAUUGAGUGGGACUACAUUUUUGUCAAGGACUAUAAAGGUGCUGAGGAAGGUAGAAACAGCUGCUUCAACUUCUGGACCAGCCCUGCUUGCUGGGAGGCAGUGCCAAACACCUUUAACUCACAUCAACAGAAAUUUUAUCCCCAACAAACUAUAUUGUUCAAGCUCUCCUCUACAAUGGCGAAGAGUGUCCAUCUCUACCCUAUCAGAACCAUCUGCAGCUUCAACAAAUGAUAAACUGAAAGGAGCUGCGUCAUCUACCUUCCAACAACAGCUUCCUAGUUCAACUGCAUCAUUGAGAACCAGUGAAGUAAAGUCUUUGUCUAGAGUGCACCCAGCAGCUUCCUAAUUUUUCUGAAAAUCAUAUAAACUAAUUGGUUGCAAAGCCUUGAAUCUGUUGAGGGAUCAAUGUCUCUUUAGUGGGAUAGUAGUGACCUUAGUAGAUGCUGACAAUAAUGUGCUAGUAGUUGGAUUCUGGAGUUUGAUGAGCAUCCGCUUAAUUUGAAAGUCUAGUUAACCUUUGAACUGAAGAUUAAAAUGAAUUAAGAUGCAAAUUUCUUA